rnacentral:rRNA from 1 species
UACGUAGGAGGCGAGCGUUUGUCCGGAUUUACUGGGCGUAAAGAGCGCGCAGGCGGCACACCAAGUACGGAGUGAAAUCUCCCUGCUCAACGGGGAGGGUGCUCUGUAAACUGGUGAGCUAGAGGGCGGCAGAGGGGGGUGGAAUUCCAGGUGUAGCGGUGAAAUGCGUGAGAUAUCUGGAGGAACACCGGUGGCGAAGGCGGCAUCCUGGACCAACACUGACACUGAGGAGCGAAAGCCAGGGGAGCAAACAGG